AGCAGCCGCGGUAAUUCCAGCUCCAAUAGCGUAUAUUAAAGUUGUUGCAGUUAAAAAGCUCGUAGUUGAAUUUCGGGAUUAAUAUGCUGGUCGUGCCAUUGGUACGUACUAGUAUUAUUGAUUUCUCCCUUCUGAUGAAUCAUGAUGUCAUUAAUUUGAUGUCAUGGGGAAUCAGGACUGUUACUUUGAAAAAAUUAGAGUGUUUAAAGCAGGCUCGCGCUUGAAUACAUUAGCAUGGAAUAAUGAAAUAGGACGUUUGAUUCUAUUUUGUUGGUUUUCUAGGAUUGACGUAAUGAUUAAUAGGGAUAGUUGGGGGCAUUAGUAUUCAAUUGUCAGAGGUGAAAUUCUUGGAUUUAUUGAAGACUAACUACUGCGAAAGCAUUUGCCAAGGAUGUUUUCAUUAAUCAAGAACGAAAGUUAGGGGAUCGAAGACGAUCAGAUACCGUCGUAGUCUUAACCAUAAACUAUGCCGACUAGGGAUCGGAUGAUGUUAAUUUUUAAUU
rnacentral:rRNA from 1 species